AUAGCAUUUCAUCCUGUCCACGGUACUCUUGCAACAGUAGGAUCUGAUGGUAGGUUCAGCUUCUGGGAUAAAGAUGCACGAACAAAGCUAAAAACAUCAGAGCAACUUGACCAGCCAAUAUCUGCCUGUUGUUUCAACCAUAACGGGAAUAUCUUUGCAUAUGCUUCCAGCUAUGAUUGGUCAAAGGGUCAUGAAUUUUAUAAUCCACAGAAGAAAAACUACAUUUUUCUGCGAAAUGCAGCAGAAGAGUUAAAGCCUAGGAAUAAGAAGUAAUGAGCAUGAGUCUGACUUGUGUUGCUGUACUGUUUUCCUGCCAUUCCUGCCCCAACUCCACUGCUCUUCUGCCAUUUGUGCCCUAUUGCGCCACGGUCCAGUCAACUUCGGAUCGCUAAUAUUUAGCAGGAACUGUAUAAAUCACAUUAAAUGUAUUCUGACUUGCUGGAGAACAUCUUUCAAAUUAGAUAUUCUGCUGAGUAU